AUAAAUAAAAAAUAAAAAAGGAGAAAAAUGAAAAGAAAGCGCAGUCACACGGAGCGGUUCUCGAGCUUUCUCCCUGUCGGCUCUCAGCGCCGCCGCCAUGGAGGACGACGACGACUGCCCUCCCCUCGCCGUCGAGCUACCGCCGCAAGUGCCAUCUCCUCCGGCGCCAGCUCCUCCGGAUGCGUCGCCAGUUGGCGUUACCGUCAUCACCGGCUACCUCGGGGCCGGCAAGUCCACGUUAGUCAACUACAUUUUGAAUGAACAACAUGGAAAGAGAAUCGCCGUGAUACUAAACGAGUUUGGAGAAGAAAUUGGGGUUGAAAGGGCGAUGAUCAACGAGGGUCAAGGUGGUGCACUUGUUGAGGAAUGGGUGGAGCUGGCAAAUGGAUGUGUCUGUUGCUCUGUAAAACACAGCCUGGUUCAAGCACUUGAGCAGCUUGUGCUGAGAAAGGAUAGAAUGGAUCAUAUAUUACUUGAGACAACAGGUUUGGCUGAUCCUGCACCACUUGUCUCUGUUCUUUGGCUAGAUGACCAAUUGGAAUCAUCAAUUAGACUGGAUUCUAUUAUUACGGUCAUUGAUGCAAAAAAUUUCAGGGUUCAGAUUGAUGAGCACAAAAACGCUUCCUCAUUCCCUGAAGCAUUUCAUCAAAUUGCAUUUGCGGAUGUUGUGAUAUUGAACAAAAUUGACCUAGUGAAGGACAGCGUUGAGGAUUUGGAAAAACAUAUUCAUGAUGUGAAUGCUCUGGUUACAGUGGUGCGGUCUGUCCGGUGCCAAGUUGACUUGAAUGAAGUAUUUAACAGGCAAGCAUAUGGUGCCAAGAAUUCUUCUCAUCUGCAAGAACUGCUGGACUAUAGUAAAUCAAUACCACCUAACCUCCGUCAUGAUAACAGUAUUUCCACCUUGUGCAUCUAUGAACAGGAUCCAGUUAACUUGGCUAAGGUGGAAUCGUGGCUCGAAGAUCUUCUUUGGGAAAAGAAAUCUACUAUGGAUAUAUAUCGUUGUAAAGGGAUUUUACAUAUCCAUGACUCAGAUCAAGUUCAUACAUUACAGGCAGUGAGGGAAGUCUACGAAGUUAUGCCGGCUCGAAAAUGGUCCGAGACAGAGUCUCGCAUGAACAAGAUAGUUGUCAUAGGCCGCAAUUUGGAUAUCAAUGCUCUCCAAGAUUCAUUUUGUGGUUGCAAGGGCUGACAAUGAUUAUCUUGUUUCUCUUGCACAAUGUUAGUUGUCCAUUUUUCUACGAUGCUUCACUUCUAGCGAUGCUCCAACACUGCAGCACCCGAUGCUUGCUAAAAUUUUCUGGCUUCGGUGCAAGAACAAGCAUCGAUGCUUGCCUAUUACAAUAUACUAUAUACGUUUGGAGUGAAGGAGAGAAGAGAUGAGUUUGGAAUUUUUAAUUCUAUUUUAGGUUCCAGGUGUAGGGAGAGAGUGAUGACGCACACUGCGACAUUCCAAGCGAAACAGGCAUCACUUGUGAUAUGAUGUUUGAAGCAUCACUAGUAAAGCUACACAUUGUGGAAGGCCUAAGUAUCUACACCAGUUUAACUUGCCUCUACACACAGGUACCUCUGUGUAAUGCUGAACUGAAUUUGCCCAUAUGCGUCUAAACUCACCAGUUUAGGUGCUCCAUGUGUAUAUUCGCCAGCGGAGAAUCUUCAUAGGGGAAACAACACAUUAUUUCAAGAUUAAGAGGACUGAACUGGUCUUAUUGCUGUAAUACCAUGUUAGUGCUUCUCCAACGCACCAUGGUAGAGUUUUUCUGCUUAGCUUCUUUCUGCUCAAUUGAGAAAGCAAACUGGUACUUUGUGGAUGCGGCAUGUAUCCUAUUAUGAGAUGCACUUUGUGGAAGGAGUUAAACUCAAGGUGUAUGCAGGCUGAUCGAAGAGACGAAGACACUUUGAAAGGACAGUGGCGUAAAUUUUGCAUGAGGUAGGAACUGGGAUACAUUGGGUUAUUUUGCUUCGUGAAUUUUGGCCUCUUUUGGGUCUUGACUGGGAUCUGUAUACUUCCAAACUUCACGGCAGAGGUAGCGUAGCUAAGAUAAACUA